CUGAAAACCUAUUCAUUUACUUUAUUUUCGCCCUGUAUUGUGCCUUCCCGUCUUUUUGCAACAUUGUGUCGACUAACCUUGAUCUUUAACAAUUCGUUCCUUUUAUUUUUCUUAUUUUUAUUUGUGUCGUUUAAAUGUAAAGAAAAACCAUUGAAUGUGCGGACGAAUGCGGGGUUGCUGCACGAGAAACGAUUCAGCCGCCCUCGCCUCCUUUAUUCCUUUCAAGUCUUCAUGCAUGUUUCACAGGCGCUUUUGCAAUUUUCGAAAAUAAAAGGAUAGAAUUCCGGAAGUGAAAGUAAUCAGUGUAGAAGAAUAGGACAAAGAAAAAAUGAUUAAGCUCAAUGCCAUACGGAAGAAAUGAAAGGAACUUGACAAAACACAACAAGGGAAUGUCUUGCAAAGAAAAAGUGAAAAGAAGGAAACAAGUUUGAAGGCUUUUGUUGAAACUGUAACAAUAACAACUCCGAUAGGAGGGUAUUAAUAGAAACCAAAUCUCGAAACAAUAAGUCAGGAUAGAUAACCAGGAUUCUAGAAACAAAGAAAAGGAAGUUCAAGCGAAAUAACUUCAAUAGUUUUAAGACGCUCAUUGCAAUUUAAAUUUAAGGAUGCAUUCAUUAGCGGAAGCUAAGCGGUUCUUUUCUUGCUGUCAGAUUUUCUGAAAACGAAGGUGCAAUUUUGAAAAAUAUGAGAGGGACCGAGUGACAAUUCGGGGUGACAACGAGUGCUGAGCUAUCCCAAAAUCUAAAGAAGAGGGGAAAAGUUCACCGUAUCAAUUCAUUUGAUAUCAUUUGUACUGAGACAACAGAGAAGAAGGCCUUGGACUGCUAUAUUACAACUAAUGAUCUAACAUUUACCGGGCAGGAUGAUCGACUGAAACUGGAUUACGCGAUGCAAUAGAAAUCAAAGAGGAAGCUCUAUGGGCGUUUUUGGAAGUCGAAGGUGUUUUCGACAACAACCGUCUUCAUACAGAGUUGGGAACACGCUGCCCUUCUGUAUAGGCAAGGUGUUAGAGAACAGGAUGGCUGAAACGUUUAUGAAACAUAGAAAGAAUUCGCCCAGGAAAAGGGUAGAAAAUGAAAACAAUACGGAAAGGAACUUUCAACACCGCAAUAAUAUGAAGUGGACAAAACAAAACGAGGGUAUUCUUUGCCUAGAAAAAUGCUAUGUGAAAUUGAGAGGUUUGGAUGGAUGGAAUUUAAU